rnacentral:rRNA from 1 species
ACGCAAGCUCGCGAGAGUAAGCUAAUCUCUUAAAGCCGUUCUCAGUUCGGACUGUAGGCUGCAACUCGCCUACACGAAGUCGGAAUCGCUAGUAAUCGCGGAUCAGAAUGCCGCGGUGAAUACGUUCCCGGGUCUUGUACACACCGCCCGUCACACCAUGGGAGUCGGAAAUGCCCGAAGUCUGUGACCCAACCGGAAGGAAGGAGCAGCCGAAGGCAGGUCUGAUGACUGGGGUGAAGUCGUAACAAGGUACC